GGUGGAUCAGUGGCGAACGGGUGAGUAACACGUGAGCAACCUGCCCUCCACUUCGGGAUAAGCCUUGGAAACGGGGUCUAAUACCGGAUAUGAGCACUCACUGCAUGGUGGGUGUUGGAAAGUUUUUCGGUGGGGGAUGGGCUCGCGGCCUAUCAGCUUGUUGGUGGGGUAAUGGCCUACCAAGGCGUCGACGGGUAGCCGGCCUGAGAGGGCGACCGGCCACACUGGGACUGAGACACGGCCCAGACUCC
rnacentral:rRNA from 1 species